GACGAACGCUGGCGGCGUGCCUAAUACAUGCAAGUUGAGCGAUGAAGAUUGGUGCUUGCACCAAUUUGAAGAGCAGCGAACGGGUGAGUAACGCGUGGGGAAUCUGCCUUUGAGCGGGGGACAACAUUUGGAAACGAAUGCUAAUACCGCAUAACAACUUUAAACAUAAGUUUUAAGUUUGAAAGAUGCAAUUGCAUCACUCAAAGAUGAUCCCGCGUUGUAUUAGCUAGUUGGUGAGGUAAAGGCUCACCAAGGCGAUGAUACAUAGCCGACCUGAGAGGGUGGUCCGCCACAUUUGGACCGAGACACGGCCCCAACUCCUACGGGAGGCAGCAGUAGGGAAUCUUCGGCAAUUGACGAAAGUCUGACCGAGCAACGCCGCGUGAGUGAAGAAGGGUUUCGGAUCGGAAAACUCUGUUGGUAGAGAAGAACGUUGGUGAGAGUGGAAAGCUCAUCAAGUGACGGUAACUACCCAGAAAGGGACGGCUAACUACGUG
rnacentral:rRNA from 1 species